rnacentral:rRNA from 1 species
UACGAAGGGGGCUAGCGUUGCUCGGAAUUACUGGGCGUAAAGCGCACGUAGGCGGUCUUUUAAGUCGGGGGGGAAAUCCUGGAGCUCAACUCCAGAACUGCCUUCGAUACUGGAAGACUUGAGUCCGGGAGAGGUGAGUGGAACUGCGAGUGUAGAGGUGAAAUUCGUAGAUAUUCGCAAGAACCCCAGUGGCGAAGGCGGCUCACUGGCCCGGUACUGACGCUGAGGUGCGAAAGCGUGGGGAGCAAACAGG